rnacentral:misc_RNA from 1 species
UUUUCUUUAUAAAGUUCCAAUGCUUCAAGGAGAAGUAGGGUCUCUUGAUCUGUCCACUUCCCACCACUUAAACCAGGAGCCUCUGCAGGUUCCAUAAGAAUAAAAUCUGAUGAAGACAUGUCUGAACCAAAUUUCCCAUUAUUAAAGCAAUCAGCACAUAAAUCAUAAUCUGCCUGCUUCUGGCAAUGGUAGCGCUUGCGAGAGCAAUCUGUUGAACAAGAAUUGCAGUGGUAUUCAACAGCUGGCCCCUCAGCCCUCACCAACUCUUCUGCAAGUGAAGACUCGGGAAAAAACCCAGAUGCCAUAGCAGGAGUCGAAAGAUUAGGCUUCGGAACAACAGAUGGACAUGGUUGAAUGGUUUCAAAGUGAAAUAACUUUUCAAGCAACGAGUCCUUCCUCGCAUCUCUAUCACCAUCUGCAUUGGCAGCAGAAUCUAUUUGUGGGAAUGGAUGGAAAUUAAUCAAUCCCCAAUAGUCCAAGAACUCUAGCACCUCUUGCUUUGCAUCAAGGUCUGCAACAUCAAGCUCAGACAGAUCUUUCAAUUCAAU